AACCGCACAUCGCCGAGUCCCCGUCCAGGGGAGCCGGGGACCCACCCUCUCGCCGCCCGCAGCGCCGAGGGGUUCCACCCCGGGGUGAAUCGGGAGCUCCGCCGCCGUCGGCGAGGGGCGCCCGUAGGAGACCUUCCUGCUCCGAACCCGUCAGCUAACCCGGUAGGCGAGAAGGAAGGAAAG
rnacentral:sRNA from 2 species